UUGGUCUCCUCCACCCAUGGCUCUGACUGGUACUGAGCUCUUUUAGCAGCCUGAGUUACUAAACACCGCCUCUUCGACUGGGCCGGGCUGGGGAGGGGAGUGGGGGGGGGGGUUUGAUCAUUACGUAACAAUAAAAGAUCUGUCUCUGGCUCCACUUCCUGAAUACCACAGCGCCUGGGCCUGCAAGAACGCACCAGCCAGGAACUCGGUCUGCAAGUUUGGGGCAGAGCUCGCGCUCUCUCUCUCUCUCUCUCUCUUGUUUACCUCCCUGAAACACAUCCGCCGCCACUUCUCUUCUUCACAUGCGGAUGAUGCAGCAGGAGUGACGCAGCACUGUCAGCCCCUCAUCGGGCCUCCAGGGAAGGCCGGGGCGGCGGGAGUGGACUGGAGGAAGGGGCCCGACACACACGGGAAGAGAAGAUGGAAGGAAAGAAUCUCCAAGCAAUUAUUGAGGUGUGAAAGAAACAAAUUGUGAAGAACAGCCACAAUAAUUCUGCAGAGCACCAGCAAAAAUCCACUGUGCAGGCAAGAUUACAAAACAUAAAAAAGGGGGGAAGGAUUUGGAUACUAGAAGACCAGAGGAGAAACUGACAUGAAGCAACAGUACAUAAUGGAGGAAUGACAGUGGUGACCCAAACACUGGUUCAGAACCUUCCCCACUGCUUUGGUAAGGUAGCACUGUUUUCUGUGACGGUCGCCUUGACAACAAGGUCAUGCUAAAGUGCAGCAGCUUCCAGAAGUGUGAGGGCCGGUAUGCUGCAAGAAUUGGUGUACCGCUUCUCCAAGCCAACUCAGACAGGGGCCUUGAGUGCACUCAGGUAACAGGAAAAAGCAAGCCGAGCUGGCCUGCACCACAAAGGGGGGGCUGGCGGCAGGCUGAGCUAGUCCGUAAUGGUACACAGCUCACGUUCCUGAUCACAAAACGCACAGCAAUGUGACCUGGAAUGUGCAGACUGACAUCAAGCAGAGUGAGCAGCGGGCGACAGGGGCAUGAAUAUCAUCACGGAAAUGUGUGCGACACUGGUGAAAGCAGCGCAGUUAACAAUACGGCAUGAGGCCCACCCGGGGGUAUGGGACUAACUGAAAUGUGAAUGCUUUUCCAACGCCAGCACGAACGCAACCCACUGUGCUCUCGUCCAUCAGCAGCCUCUGCGCAGCUCCUCUGUCAACCCUCUCCCCCUGCUCCUUUCCCUGCCACGUUUUGUCCUCACACUGUCUAACUUUGCAUGUUCACAGGCGGCGAGAGAAAUGUGGUCACAGAUAUUGCAUUGGUCGUGCUCGCUAUCAAACGAAACUAGCGUGUUUAGGAGUGUACGCUGUCGCUUUCAGACUACGAGACGCCGAAUGAAUGCUGCUUAGGAUAUAUAACCCGAGAAGAAAUUAGACAGUGGGCGGUAUGGCUGAAUCUGUAUCACCAAAACCCAACCAGCAGUUAAGCAGCCAGUAGUGGGGUGUGAUGUGCCGCUGAACGGCUCUCUCGUACCAUCUUCUGAAGUUGCCGCUUCCUGCUUGGUGGCUUUAGAGUAGACACCACUGGGCUUCAGUUACUGAGGCUAUAGACCUGUAGUCUAGUCUAGCUAUUUUUAAACCUCAGUGUCGGGCUCCUACAUUGGCCAAAUGGUCAGAGAAUCUGGGGUAUGACAGGAGAGUAUUGGGGGCAACUGUACUGGGCGAAAGUGCUGAGUGCUCACCCAGGACCAGGGAGAGGCGAAGGACAUUGGAGCUGAAACGAGCAGCGUAGAAAGAGAGAGGGAGGGGAGGAAAGAAAGACAACAGCAAAAGCUCUGCCUCUAAUGUACUGCUGAGCAGCGACGAGGCUAGAAAAAAGUGUCUACUUUCGUCUUUCGCGAAAACAGUUUUCUUCCUGUACAGUAGAGACUAUGAAAUGUAGUGGAGGGAGACUGCGCUAUGUUCGCCUGCAUCGUUUUCUGAUUCACCAAGGUAUGUUCUGCACGUUUUCCCCCCAUCUAUAACCUCCUUGUAACGGAAAUAGACAUAUUGCAUUGAGUGUUGGUUCUGCUAUGACAUUUUUGCUCUCUGAUUGACUAGACAGCUUGUUUUCGAGGCUGUGUUUCCCAAACCUUUUCAUUUUUAGGUUUUGAAAUGCGUAUCGCAUGAUAUCCUGAAGCACAGUGAACUAGGGUGCGGCUUAGAGACUAACGCUGAUGACAAAUUCAAAGUUUCCGCUCAAUGUGCGGACAAACAAUAAACCACAUCAAGGUGAAUUAAAUGGUCAAAUCAGCCCUUACUGCAUAUGAUCAACUCAAAGCGCACACAGGCAGGCAAUUUCAAGAUGAAAAUGCAAUGAGGGCAGCACAAACCACAACAAAUCACCAGCAAAGCUGAAGCCAAUCGUCUGCAGUAAGGGGAUGAGAGAAACAGUCCAUCGGGCUGCUGCAUUUCUGCUGCAGACUCUCACACAGCAACCAACACGCAUCCAGAGCGGAGACAAAGGAUGGUGGAGCCCCCCCACUGCAGUGGAUUGGAGCCUAGCUGCUCCACCGUGCUCAGAGAAGCAGGGCUAGCAGUGAGGGAGGACCACAACAAAUCCCCGGACGGCUAAUGCAAUCGCCUGCUUUACCCCGCGCAUUUAUCGGGAACCCCAAUAAGUGCUGCGCCAUAGCAUGUUGCCGUGACAACAGAGGCCUGACAGAAAGGGAGGUUGUGCUGUUCAGUGAUACGCGAGUGUGCUCUUCUGUCAGCGCCCAGCCAUAUUGUGAUCCUGGCGCAGAGGGAAAAACCCUAGCAACACCAAGGAUUUUAUUAAAACAAUUAAAAUACAGCCAGUUACAGAUUAAAUUAUAAUUGUUGAUAAAUUAAAAAAAUUAAAAAAGGAAAUAUGGUGGGGUUUUAAUAUAGACAGUGUCCCAUAUCCCAUUAGGUCAAAAUGUAGUGUUUGUGGCCUGGGGCUGGAUGCAUUGUUUCUAUAAUUAUGUAAUUUCUGUUAUUACGUAAUAAACAAUUCCCUGCCUUUGCUGAGUAAUAUGUAGUCCACAAUGCUUAGUGUCGUUGAGACAGAUCUAACAGUUAGUCAUUGGACUGAAACACAUUUAGGCUUUAGUGUAAUCCACUGUAGGUAAAUAAACAUGGGGUGCAAUAGAGAGGCUUCUAGCGCAGUAAUCGACCAAAAUGAAAAGGUAGAUUAUUAAAAUGAAUAGGGCUUCUCAAAUACUCUGGUCAUAUUUGUUUCCAACAAAAGCAAUCUGAAAGUGGUACCCCAUGAAUGGGCAGCCAUUUUAGCUUACCCGAACAUAUCAUCAACAUCGAGGAUAAAGAAGAAAAUAUAAAAUGGCCACCAUGCCACUGGAAAUGACAGAAAUCAUUUUGUAGGAUAUUUGUAUGCCCUGCCCUGCUAUAUGCAUGGCAACAACGUCGCUGUAGGAUAGCCCAACUAUACCAUCAGAUGGAUUUGAUCCUCUGCCCUGGACAUCAGUGAUUACAUUAUCAAUGUCCGACAAUGAAAGCUGUUUUACAUGAGGAAUAUAUUAUAGAUCUGCUCUUAAAAUAAAUAUAUUUCCCGAGACCCAUUUGGUUAGAAAGAAAUUAUACCAAUUGUUGCCUCAGAGCGAAUCCACACAGGGAUGUAGGCACACCUCUCUGGGAGGAUGUGCAGUGAUCAUGUCAUUUCCGCUUAGGUUAGCCAGAAAGAUAUGAGAUAGUGAAGUCUCAUGGAACCUCAUGCAGAACCAUUGGCAGACUAUGCAUGCUUUUGGCUGUAGUGCGCACAAAAAUAGUGGAACGGGUUAUAGUGGAACAGAUGGGGCAAGCUUGUGUGUGUGUGUGUGUAUGUGAGCUGUGUGUUUGGGCAGUGUAUGUGUGAUUAGGGACUGGAUUAGCUACUGAAUUCUGCCCUGAAAAGAGCCAAAGCGUCUUAGCAGGAACCAGCAGAGUUUCUCCACAGUGGCCGUUUAACACGGUGCAGUGGCCCAUUCUUUAUCAUAGGGAAAGGGUUUGUUUGUCCUUUAACCUAUGAACUCUGCUGGGUGUGGGUAAAAAGCAGGAAAAACAUUCCUCCAGUACAUAUAAGAACCACAGCUAGGGGCGGAAAGGAUGUAUGAGUCAGGGAGGACAAUCAAUCUCUGCGUCUAAAUUACUGCCACAUACCUGUGCCAAGUGUGCUCCACAGGACGACAUAUGUUGUGUUGAUGUAUUUACUGCCAGUGCGUCAGGCCCAUGACUCAAACAUGGCCGUACAACGCUGGAAUGUCCGUUCAAAGUAACUUCACCAAGCAGAUAGGGAGCGACUCCACAUCCGGGGUGACUCAGAAGCCUCGCUCUAGUUUUCACUCAACAAGCUGUAUCGGUUUCCAGGUACGAGUCACUGUGCUUCAGGCACUUGACUAAAGCACGCUGAGUCAGUGUUGAUCGAGAAAAUGGCGUGGCAGACUCCCGGAGUGUAGUCGCUCCACCUUGAUGUGCCUCCCAGCGUGAGAAAUUGUGAAACAGGAAAGAAAGUCAGGACUAUUCAGAAAUGUCCAGGAAUAGGUUCACAAAUAAGAAAGAAAAAGGGGUAGUUCAAUCAAAUUCAAGACACAUUCUGUUGGUUUCCUUACAGUGUAAACAGUGCAUUCGUGGCUGUAAAACAUGCUAACAUUCAUGCUAAGACUUGGAUUCAAGCCACAAAUGCACUGUUUACACUGUAAGGAAACCAACAGAAUGUGUCUUGAAUUUGAUUGAACUACCCCAUUUUCUUUCUUAUUUGUGAACCUAUUCCUGGACAUUUCCAAUUUCUCCAGAAGUAUGGAAUGUUGACUAUAAAGCUAAAUAAAGGCACUUAAACUAGAGGCAUUAAAAAGUAUCAUCCUGUUGGUCUGCUCAUGUCCAUAUAGGCUCACAUUUUAACUUAGGGAAACUGUCUUUAAGGGCAGGAUUUAAAUGUGUGAGUACAUUUUUCAUUGUUAGAAAUCGGAUUGUCUUUAAAUAAGGAGUUGAAUCCGAUCAAAGGUCAGUUCUGUUUUUAUCUUCAGUAUAUUCAAACAUUUAUGCUGAGAAUUGUAACUAUUUUGUAAGGUUUGUGCCCAGAGGAUGUCUUUGUGAUAUUGCUACUUUUCACAGAAUAUGGGUUACAUAAGCACAGCCUGUUCCCAUGAAAAUGUUUCUGGACGUCAGCACAGGACUGUUCAGGACAUGAUAUGCCAGCCUCAUCCACUUAAACUACUGCCAUCUAGUGUGACAAAGAGACAAUGUCUGGUUUGGUAUUUUCAAAUACUGUGAAAUAUUUUUCUUGAUAAAUCAAUGUACGCAAAAUGCAAGCAAAGCCAUUGCUCAUUCUAAGCAACUCAGUAUUUUUUUAUUUUAUUUUUUUAUCUCUGGGACCCAUUUCUCAAUACUUAAGUACAUUUUAAUAAAACUCUUCACACAGUUCUCCUAACCAACUUUCAGCUUUGCGCAGCACAUAAUUUCACAUCGAAAAUGCACUAAAACUACCAAGAUAUGUGUCAAAUCAACAAUUUAUUCCAGAACACUAGCAAAGGUUGUCACCCAACAAGCACACUUUGUCACUCAUAAAACAAUGACCUAAAAAAACAACAGGUCUAAUUACACAAUGUUUUCUUUUUUAAAAUCUCUUUAAAAACCAAGAAUGACACCUGUACUGUUCAGACUUCACAGCAUUACAUUACAGGAAUUUAUCAGACAUGAUGCAAUAUGCUUCAGUAUGUAUUAUGUCAUUUUUUGGUGAUUCCAAAAUACAAAAAUUUGUAUAAACACCACCUGCCAAUACAGAUACGGUAGCAACGCUAGUCAACCCUGUCUUCUGUAUUUAUACACAGGUUCUCAUCCACAUUUUGGGGAAUAUACCUAGGAAACAAUCUUUGGGCAUGCCCGGUCCAUCCUUGGCAAACUUCUGCAGAUAUGUCAAGGCAUCCAUCAUUCAUUGUUUCCAGGAGGGACAUUGGAUCAUAUAUUGUAGCCCUAAUCUCAUCUGAGAAUACAGCUCUUAAUCUUCCUCUCAGUCUUCUUCCACCACUCACGCGUACUCCUCUUCCUCCCCCAGCCACUCUUCUUCCUCUAUCAGCCACUUCUCUAUCUCUGGCUGGGUCCAUGUUUACAAUACAGUACAACAUGAUUCCUAAGAUGUCCCCUUUUGUAUAGA
ensembl:lncRNA